rnacentral:rRNA from 1 species
ACGGAAGGCAGCAGUGAGGAAUAUUGGUCAAUGGAGGCAACUCUGAACCAGCCAAGUCGCGUGAAGGAUGAAGGUUCUAUGGAUUGUAAACUUCUUUUGUCUGAGGGUAAAGUGCGGUACGUGUACCGUUUUGCAAGUAUCAGACGAAUAAGCAUCGGCUAACUCCGUGCCAGCAGCCGCGGUAAUACGGAGGAUGCGAGCGUUAUCCGGAUUUAUUGGGUUUAAAGGGUGCGUAGGCGGAAUGUUAAGUCAGUGGUAAAAGCGUGUGGCUCAACCAUACCAAGCCAUUGAUACUGGCGUUCUUGAGUGCAAACGAGGUAGGCGGAAUAUGACAUGUAGCGGUGAAAUGCUUAGAUAUGUCAUAGAACCCCGAUUGCGAAGGCAGCUUACCAGCACGCAACUGACGCUGAGGCACGAAAGCGUGGGUAUCAAACAGGAUUAGAUACCCUGGUA